rnacentral:rRNA from 1 species
CCUACGGGCGGCAGCAGUCGAGAAUCAUUCACAAUGGGGGAAACCCUGAUGGUGCGACGCCGCGUGGGGGAAUGAAGGUCUUCGGAUUGUAAACCCCUGUCAUGUGGGAGCAAAUUAAAAAGAUAGUACCACAAGAGGAAGAGACGGCUAACUCUGUGCCAGCAGCCGCGGUAAUACAGAGGUCUCAAGCGUUGUUCGGAAUCACUGGGCGUAAAGCGUGCGUAGGCUGUUUCAUAAGUCGUGUGUGAAAGGCGCGGGCUCAACCCGCGGACGGCACAUGAUACUGCGAGACUAGAGUAAGGGAGGGGGAACCGGAAUUCUCGGUGUAGCAGUGAAAUGCGUAGAUAUCGAGAGGAACACUCGUGGCGAAGGCGGGUUCCUGGACAUUAACUGACGCUGAGGCACGAAGGCCAGGGGAGCGAAAGGGAUUAGAUACCCGGGUAGUC